UAAUGAAGUGAUCGUUCCCCUUUAAACUCUCACAGUCCUUGUGGUGCAGAUAGGGCUUUCCUUUACUGCACCUCAAAGACAAUUCAUUGUAUUUAUGUGCUAAUGUGCCAUUUUGCUUCUUUUCUAGUGCUGUAAGUCUUCGGCCAGCCACGAGAUAACCGGUUAGAGGACAAAUGUUAGAUUUACAUGCCAAAUCGCUGCGGUGGGACGUCAUGGUUUUCGGAUAGGCCAAAGGGUGUUCAAGAGCACAGUAAUUUGCAUUGUGACAAAAAACCGCAGUGGAGAAAGCACCAAGAAAACCCCGACCCCGCGCCCGAAAACACGUACUGUGACAGAACCUACAGCUCGGCGGUUGAGACGAUUGAUCGAGGAAACUGAUCGGGAGGAUUCACUGACAAGCUGCUUCCCACAUUAGGUGAGAAAACUUAAGACAUAAAAUCAUGAACAGCUAGACUGUUUAUACUGCACAAAUUAGACACAGCACUACAAUACCAAGCUGCAGAAAUACUUUAAAGCGUUCCUGACAAGGA
ensembl:lncRNA